rnacentral:rRNA from 1 species
GUGGGGAAUUUUGGACAAUGGGCGCAAGCCUGAUCCAGCAAUGCCGCGUGCAGGAAGAAGGCCUUCGGGUUGUAAACUGCUUUUGUACGGAACGAAAAGGCUCUGGUUAAUACCUGGGGCUCAUGACGGUACCGUAAGAAUAAGCACCGGCUAACUACGUGCCAGCAGCCGCGGUAAUACGUAGGGUGCAAGCGUUAAUCGGAAUUACUGGGCGUAAAGCGUGCGCAGGCGGGUUUGUAAGACAGACGUGAAAUCCCCGGGCUGAACCUGGGAAUGGCGUUUGUGACUGCAAAGCUGGAGUGCGGCAGAGGGGGAUGGAAUUCCGCGUGUAGCAGUGAAAUGCGUAGAUAUGCGGAGGAACACCGAUGGCGAAGGCAGUCCCCUGGGCCUGUACUGACGCUCAUGCACGAAAGCGUGGGGAGCAAACAGGAUUAGAUACCCGAGUAGUCC